rnacentral:lncRNA from 1 species
AUUUAAUCAUUUAUUCAUGCAGGCCAUAUUUAUCUUUCUUCCAAAUAGCAUUGCAACCCAACAAUUCUUUCUGGGAGCAACAUUUUAAAUAUUUUAAAUAUUGCACCCAGUCAUGAAAAAAAUUGUAGUUACAGAAUUUGAUACUCAUUAAAAUUUCCUUUUUUUUGGUUCAUUUAGAACUUGCUCCUCCCUCCCCACACACUGAAUCUGUCCCCCCAAGCUUGGUUGAAGUGAUUGAUGCAGUGAAGGCAGCAUUUGAGCAGGCGGUAAAGAUUUCCAAAGACGAUGCGGCGCGAGAGGUCUUUGAACAAGUUGUGGAGGAACUUGUGCCAAAACAGGACGUUCCUGAGCAGACUCCAGAAAUGACAGAUGGAGGAGAAGACUUCAAUAGGGAUGCUGUAUCUGCCGUGGUGAAUGAACAUGGAGAUGGAGGUACAGAAGGUACAGAAGGCCUCACUGCUUUGGAUGCCGCGCAGGAGCCUGCCGAAGCAGCGCUCUACACAUCAGAAACUGAACAAGUGCAAUCAAAUGAAGAUAUGAGUAAAGAGGAAGAGGACUCAGUGUUGGAUCAUGCACCACUUAAGGACCUUGUGGAAGCAUCGCAAAGGCCACACCAAGAGUCAUCCCAAGAAGCUGAAGAACUCAAGUCAGUUGAGGAGACAAAUAUAGAACCAGUGGAGUCAAUUCAAGAACCUCCUCAAAUUGGUGAGGAGCCAGUUGAAGAGCCAGACGAAUUGGCUGUGGCUCCAGAAAAGGAAUCUGAGGACAAAGGCCUUGUUGACCCAAAAGACACUGGGUCAAAUCUCUUCUCAGUGCAAGCAAAGGUCCCUCCAGAUUCAGCAACAGAUGGAGAGAGUCAGGACGGGAAGAAGGCAGGAGAGCAGGUAAAAGACGAAGAAGUAAAACAGGACCAGAAGCUUGUGGAGCUUUUGGAGGAGCAGAAUACUCUGGAGUCUGUGGGAACUGGGGAAACAGACAUAGAAGAAGCUGAGAAGUUGAAGGACAUAGGAGUAAGAGAAUCAAAAGACCAGAAAUUGAGAUUCCCUGAUGGGAAGCCACCCAGGCUGCCUGAACCAAUAAAGCAAAUGACCGAAUUGCAACCCAGUCAGGAGCGAGACCAAGGUGUAAUUAAAGAAGUGAUCGCUCAAGCUGGUGCCCUGGAGCAAGACAUCCAGGAGGAAGGUGAACAUGGAAGAACAGUGGAAGCUGGUGAUGGUGGAGAUGCAGUUGAAGAUACAGUUGAGACUGUGGACGAUCAAGAGGAGGCAGAAACAAGGAGGUCUGGAGGGGAAGCUGAGGCAGUUGAACCCAUUGAAGAAAUGGAGGUCAUUGUAAAAGCGACACAGAAGCUACAGCUACAGAAGACGUCUUUACAGAAGACCCCUCACGAACCAGGUAAAUGAGUCCCAGACACCUCCGAACUCCGGGAGUCUUCAUUUUCUUACAACUUUGACAUUUGUAAAGCCUCAUCG